UACGGAGGGGGCGAGCGUUAAUCGGAAUUACUGGGCGUAAAGCGCGCGUAGGCGGCGCGAUAAGCCGGUGGUGAAAUCCCCGGGCUCAACCGGGGAACGGCAUCCGGAACUGGCAGGCUAGAGUGCAGGAGAGGAAGGUAGAAUUCCCGGUGUAGCGGUGAAAUGCGUAGAGAUCGGGAGGAAUACCAGUGGCGAAGGCGGACUUCUGGACUGACACUGACACUGAGGUGCGAAAGCGUGGGUAGCAAACAGG
rnacentral:misc_RNA from 1 species